GGGCGAUGGCCUGAACCGCCAAGUAGCGUGAAGGAUGACUGCCCUAUGGGUUGUAAACUUCUUUUAUAAAGGAAUAAAGUCGGGUAUGCAUACCCGUUUGCAUGUACUUUAUGAAUAAGGAUCGGCUAACUCCGUGCCAGCAGCCGCGGUAAUACGGAGGAUCCGAGCGUUAUCCGGAUUUAUCGGGUUUAAAGGGAGCGUAGAUGGAUGUUUAAGUCAGUUGUGAAAGUUUGCGGCUCAACCGUAAAAUUGCAGUUGAUACUGGAUGUCUUGAGUGCAGUUGAGGCAGGCGGAAUUCGUGGUGUAGCGGUGAAAUGCUUAGAUAUCACGAAGAACUCC
rnacentral:rRNA from 1 species